UACGUAGGGUGCAAGCGUUGUCCGGAAUUAUUGGGCGUAAAGGGCUCGUAGGCGGUCCAUCGCGUCGGGGGUGAAAAGCUGGGGCUUAACCCCAGUCCUGCUUCCGAUACGGGUGGACUAGAGGUAGGUAGGGGAGAUCGGAAUUCCUGGUGUAGCGGUGAAAUGCGCAGAUAUCAGGAGGAACACCGGUGGCGAAGGCGGAUCUCUGGGCCUUACCUGACGCUGAGGAGCGAAAGCAUGGGGAGCAAACAGG
rnacentral:rRNA from 1 species